UGUUACGCUUUCUAAAGUGCCACAAAAAGUGUCUUUACAAUACAUUAUGAUGUAUUUGUAAAGAUAAAUUGUAAAAUGAAUGUACAAAAGUGUCUCUAGAUUAGAUUUGUGUUGUAGUGCACACUGCACACUAGCAACUUUUUCUGUGUACACAGGCAUUAAUAUGAUCUUAUAUAGGAAAUAAUAUUACAUUUAUUAGGCAAAGUACAAUCUCAAAUUAGGGGUGGGGCUUCUGGCCAAAGGUUCCAGCCCAGGCUUUUUUUGGUCCACCACACCUAUAUACCAAGCAUGCCCUGCCUGAUGUAGUUGAAGUAAUGUAGUGAUUCAAGCAUGCGCUCUCUUUUUUUUGUUAAAAUUGUUCACCUUUUUUCCCCUGCAGCCUCUCAACCCCCAUUUGUCACAAUGCCAAGAUGACAGAAGCAGAAAGAAGGAUGCCCACUGUCAACUUAUACAGUUCAGAGCCCCCUUCUUCAUAAUUGUUGUCAUCAGAUUCAGCAGUUGCAUUGCCCUCUUUCACCUUCCUCCCAUGCCCUUCCUUGUUACAAACAAAUAGGACUUUUGUGCUGCUACUGUGUCAAACCUGACAGGCAUGAAGUGCCCGUAAGGAUUGAGAAACCAAUCCAUUUUGCACAUGAGUUAUAGAAAUCUCUAGCUUCCUGCUUACUUGAAAAAAAUACUUACCCAGUGUAUGGUACUCGAGGUGUCGACCAAACCUCAUCCACAUCUGCUAUUCCUUAGGUGUUAUUAGCAAUAGUCUGCACAUAUUCGAGGUUUUCAGUUAUAUUAUAGUUGCCAACAGCAGCCUCAACACUGCCCAAAGCAGGCAACACUUGCUAUUCUAGACUCUGCACAAUGUCAUGUACUGUUGCUCCCCUGUCCUGAAGCUUGAACUGCUUCUGUACAGUAUGUAGAAUUUUCAUCUGACUCAUUUAGGAAAUGAUAAUCAAAUUCUAGCAAGAGCUCAUUUUAAAUCCAUUCUUUUUCACUAGUCUUUUUCUAUUCUAUUACCCUGCACAACUAUUUUUUAAUCAAAGCACAAAUCUGAUUAGAUUGGUUUCUACUAGGUAGUAUAAGUUAGGUUUCCAAGCAAUAAUGUUCUUACGUACAAGCAUAUCAGUAUUUUUGUUCAGGCAAUAAUGUUGCUCAUUUUCAGCAUCAAAAUCACUAACCAAGUUUUCAAUCUUGAUUCAAUCAGGUUUACAAUAUUGGAUUCAAUUGUGUGGGUGGGACAGGGGAGCAACUAGGCGCAUCAGCACAUCCAAUCAGAAACUUACAUGCAUGCUACCUCUCUUUUGACCUGUGUAUAGCAAUUUGCAUCUAAAGAUCUGUGGUUUUUCGUUUCUGGAGGAUGUGAUUUUGUAUGGAUCUAUUAUGUCACCUAAAGAUAUGUGUUUUUUUGUUUCUAGAGGAUGUGAUUUUGUAUGGAUCUAUUAUGUUGCUAGAACCCUAAAACCAAAUUGCAGAUGAUGGGAUACCUAAACAAGUACUAAAAGUCUGAUCUGCAUACCUGAUCCAA